rnacentral:rRNA from 1 species
AGCGAACGCUGGCGGCGUGCUUAACACAUGCAAGUCGAGCGAAGGUGUUUCAAGGGUAACCUUGAGAUACACUUAGCGGCGGACGGGUGAGUAAUACGUGGAUAACUUACCUCUAGGCCUGGGAUAACCCCGGGAAACUGGGGCUAAUACCUGAUAAGACCACAUUGUCUACGGACAAAGGGGUAAAAGGUGGCUGUGCAAACAGCUAUCGCCAAAAGAUAGGUUCACGUCCCAUCAGGCAGUUGGCGAGGUAAUGGCUCACCAAACCAAAGACGGGUAGCCGGCCUUGGCGGGUGAACGGCCACACGGGGACUGAGACACGGCCCCGACUCCUACGGGAGGCAGCAGUGGGGAAUAUUGGGCAAUGGGCGCAAGCCUGACCCAGCGACGCCGCGUUGGGGAAGAAGGCCUUCGGGUUGUAAACCC